AAGUACCUUUUCCAAAGAAGCAGAAAAGUACGAAACCUGCCACCUGGUCCGACUCCUCUUCCUAUAAUCGGCAACCUUAACCUCGUUGAACAACCUAUACACCGUUUCUUCCACCGCAUGUCCCAAAAAUAUGGAAACAUCAUAUCCCUUUGGUUUGGGUCACGUCUUGUUGUGGUUGUUUCAUCACCCACAGCGUACCAAGAAUGUUUCACUAAACAUGAUGUUACCUUGGCCAACAGGGUACGCUCCCUCUCGGGAAAAUACAUAUUCUACGACAACACCACCGUAGGGUCUUGCUCCCACGGCGAGCACUGGCGCAACCUCCGCCGCAUAACCUCUCUCGACGUUCUAUCGACGCAGCGCGUCCACUCCUUCUCCGGAAUCCGGAGCGACGAGACGAAAAGGUUGAUACACAGGCUGGCCAGGGACUCCGGGAAAGAUUUUGCGCGCGUGGAGAUGACCUCCAAGUUUGCUGACUUGACGUACAACAACAUCAUGAGGAUGAUUUCGGGGAAGCGGUUUUACGGAGAAGAGAGUGAACUUAACAACGUUGAGGAAGCGAAGGAGUUCAGAGACACUGUGAAUGAGAUGCUGCAACUCAUGGGGUUGGCUAACAAGGGAGAUCACUUACCUUUCCUAAGGUGGUUCGAUUUUCAGAACGUGGAGAAGAGGUUGAAGAAUAUCAGUAAGAGGUAU
rnacentral:lncRNA from 1 species